AACGUGGAACGCUAUCACACUUUCCUUGAUCCCCUCAUUGGACUAACUUUGUGGAUACUACCGUGUGCGUGCAUGAAUAAGUUUCCCAAGCCGCUCCCCUACCACGGGCCUCGGGAGUACAACCUACUCGGCGACGAGUUCCCGGAAUACCAGACCGUGCCGACGCCACCCGCGCGGGUCCCAGAGGAAAUUGAGACGAAGAGCUCCCGGUCCGAAAGGGCUAACCGAAAACACGAGGGCAAUCACGGCCGGCAGGCGCCUCGUUAAGCGGCCGGCACCGAUUGGCGGGGGUGGGUCCUCCAGCACCUGCGGCCGAUGACGGCUGCGCCCCCGCCGGCUUGUAUAAGAGCAGGCGUGCGCCAGGGGCGGCCGAAGACUCCCGGAGGCGGCCAAAGACGGAGGAGUCUCUGCGGGAGGACGCGGGGCGGGGGCCGGCCGACCGACCAGCAAGGUACAACGCAGCUGACUGGAGGCUUGGCAUGAUGUCUACCGAUCGCAGUCCAAUCGGCCACGUUAACUCAAAACACCUGGGAGACACCGCUCUGCUGACUGGCUCCAAUCUCUCUCUGUCUUGUCGCAAAGCACAA